GCCCCUGACGCCGCUCAGCCGUCGGUGCCGCCGCUCCCGCCGGCUCCAUGGGAGCCGACCCUCCUUGCGGCGCUCCAUUCCGCCCCCUCGCCGGCCAACUACACGGGUGGCGGCGAUUGGUACAUGGACACCGGCGCCACCGCUCAUAUGGCUGCCAACCCCAGUACUCUCCACACCUCUUAUCCUGUCCAUACUUCCAAUCGCAUUACCGUCGGUGAUGGAUCCUCACUUCCCAUUACACACAUAGGACAUGCUUACUUUCCGUCUACAUCCAUAACGAUAUCAUUAUCUAACAUACUUGUGUCUCCCGACCUCAUUACCAAUCUUGUUUCCGUUCGUUCUCUUGCUCGUGAUAACCCUGUUACCAUUGAAUUUGACAUGUGUGCUUUUUCUGUCAAGGACGCCCGCACCCGGAUGGUGCUCCACCGAUGUGAUAGUCCCGAUGAGCUCUACCCGGUCCACCCACCCGCCUCCACCAACACAUCUCCGGUUGCCCUCUCCAUCGGUGUGGACCUCCGGCACACUCGCUCGGGACGUCCCAACGACACCACUCUUCGUCAUAUUCUUCGGAGUUUUUGUUUCACUUGUAAUAAGACCGACAGUCACACUUGUCAUGCGUGUCAUCUAGGCAAACAUACUCGAGUUCCCUUUAGUACUUCCUCUUCAGUUGCAUCGUAUCUGUUUGAACUACUUCAUAGUGAUGUGUGGACUUCUCCAGUUACGAGUAACACCGGCUAUACUUACUAUCUCGUUAUUUUGGAUGAUUUUUCGCACUAUGUGUGGACCUUCCCGUUGCGGUGGAAAUCCGAUGUCAUGUCCGUUCUCACCGCCUUUUACUCCUAUGUUACCACCCAGUUUGGUCGCUCCAUCCAUGCCAUCCAAACCGACAAUGGGAAGGAAUUCGACAACCUUGCAGUUUGCAAUCUCCUCGCCACGCAUGGCACGAUAUUUCGUCUUACUUGC
rnacentral:rRNA from 1 species